CGCGCAGGCGGUCUGUCAAGUCAGAUGUGAAAGCCCACGGCUUAACCGUGGAAGUGCAUUUGAAACUGGCAGUCUUGAGUAUCAGAGGGGAAGGUGGAAUUCCCGGUGUAGAGGUGAAAUUCGUAGAUAUCGGGAGGAAUACCGGUGGCGAAGGCGACUUUCUGGCUGAAUACUGACGCUGAGGCGCGAAAGCGUGGGGAGCAAACAGGAUUAGAUACCCUGGUAGUCC
rnacentral:rRNA from 1 species